rnacentral:rRNA from 1 species
UACGGAGGGGGCUAGCGUUAUUCGGAAUUAUUGGGCGUAAAGGGCGUGUAGGCGGCUUCGUGUGUCCCAUGUGAAAGCCCUCGGCUCAACCGGGGAACUGCAUGGGAAACUGCGGAGCUUGAGUCCGGGAGAGGAUAGUGGAAUUCCCAGUGUAGCGGUGAAAUGCGUAGAUAUUGGGAGGAACACCAGUGGCGAAGGCGGCUCACUGGACUGGUACUGACGCUGAUGCGCGAAAGCGUGGGGAGCAAACAGG